rnacentral:rRNA from 1 species
GGAAUAUUGGACAAUGGGCGCAAGCCUGAUCCAGCAAUGCCGCGUGGGUGAAGAAGGCCUUCGGGUUGUAAAGCCCUUUUGUACGGGAAGAAAUCCUGUCGGUUAAUACCCGGCGGGGAUGACGGUACCGUAAGAAUAAGCACCGGCUAACUUCGUGCCAGCCGCCGCGGUAAUACGAAGGCUGCAAGCGUUAAUCGGAAUUACUGGGCGUAAAGCGUGCGUAGGCGGUUCGUUAAGUCCGUUGUGAAAGCCCUGGGCUCAACCUGGGAAUGGCAGUGGAUACUGGCGGACUAGAGUCAGGUAGAGGGUGGCGGAAUUCCCGGUGUAGCGGUGAAAUGCGUAGAGAUCGGGAGGAACAUCCGUGGCGAAGGCGGCCACCUGGACCAUGACUGACGCUGAGGUGCGAAAGCGUGGGGAGCAAAC